UCUCCGUUGGUGAACCAGCGGAGGGAUCAUUACCGAGUUUACAACUCCCAAACCCAAUGUGAACCAUACCAAACUGUUGCCUCGGCGGGGUCACGCCCCGGGUGCGUCGCAGCCCCGGAACCAGGCGCCCGCCGGAGGGACCAACCAAACUCUUUCUGUAGUCCCCUCGCGGACGUUAUUUUUACAGCUCUGAGCAAAAAUUCAAAAUGAAUCAAAACUUUCAACAACGGAUCUCUUGGUUCUGGCAUCGACGAAGAACGCAGC
rnacentral:misc_RNA from 1 species